GUAAAAGUCUCCACGUUCAACAUAUAUAUAUGGAGAUUAACUGAGUUUAGUGGUAUCAAUCUAAUUACAUUCAUUAGCUCAAUUCUUUCCCAUGGAUACAACACCACAGAGAAGGAUUAGGAGGUCCAUUAACUUGCCUGCAUCUCCGGCAACGCUGGAAACAAUGUACAAUAGCACUAAGCAACAGUUGGAAGAGCUAAAAACAGAAGUGAAUCAGCUACUGAAAAGAUUGGUUCUUGAUAUGGGUAAGGAAUACAUCACUGCUACCUUAUUGGAUGAGCCACCACUCUUGAAGUCUUAUGAUAUCUUCCUUCAGUUGCCUCAAACAAAUGGAAAUUCAACAAACAAUGACAACAAUGUUAUUAUCAUCUCUGAUACCUCAGCAUCUGCUCAAUCAUUACCCGGUGUUGAGUCAUUACCUCAUACUGAAUGAAGAAUGUGUCAAGUUGGCGUCUUGUGUGAAGCUAUGGAAAGG
rnacentral:misc_RNA from 1 species